rnacentral:rRNA from 1 species
GACGAACGCUGGCGGCGUGCCUAAUACAUGCAAGUAGAACGCUGAAGAGAGGAGCUUGCUCUUCUUGGAUGAGUUGCGAACGGGUGAGUAACGCGUAGGUAACCUGCCUUGUAGCGGGGGAUAACUAUUGGAAACGAUAGCUAAUACCGCAUAACAAUGGAUGACACAUGUCAUUUAUUUGAAAGGGGCAAUUGCUCCACUACAAGAUGGACCCGCGUUGUAUUAGCUAGUAGGUGAGGUAAUGGCUCACCUAGGCGACGAUACAUAGCCGACCUGAGAGGGUGAUCGGCCACACUGGGACUGAGACACGGCCCAGACUCCUACGGGAGGCAGCAGUAGGGAAUCUUCGGCAAUGGGGGCAACCCUGACCGAGCAACGCCGCGUGAGUGAAGAAGGUUUUCGGAUCGUAAAGCUCUGUUGUAAGUCAAGAACGGGUGUGAGAGUGGAAAGUUCACACUGUGACGGUAGCUUACCAGAAAGAGACGGCUAACUACGUG